GCAAAAAAGCCCUCUGGGACUUCUUUCCUUUCAGUUUUAUUAUUGCUCCUGAAAAAAAGCAGAGAAGCUGCUCUAGCUAAGCUUGUUGAAUCUGGAAGGUGGAGUCUCCUUCCUGAAAGGACUGGAUAAGGUGUAUUCUGCAGUUAGGCACAGUGGACCCUGGAAUCUGCUUGACUUCCAGAGGAUCAGUUGACCUGUGGGAAGCCAGCUGCAAUGUUGUGAGACAACCAUGUGGAGAGGCUCCCAGAGGGACUGAGGCAAGCCAACAACCACAUGACUGCUGACUUUUGGACCAUUUGUUAUGCAAGAAUAGAUCAAAGCAAAGAAGAGAACUGAGAUGCUGUCAUGGAAAGGAAAAAGGAAACAUAUAGCUGGUCAUGUCAGCCAAAUAAAUUCCCGACACUGUGUUAGAUACUAUACUGGACACAAAAGAAAUCCUGGCCCCAGUGCACUUCUGAACCAGCUGGAGACUCAAGCUCUAUGUGCAUGAACAACUAGAGAAAGGCUCCAGAAAGGAUGGUGUGCCUGAUGGACACAAUGCGGUGCUGAGGAUCGAACCCAGUGCCUUACAUGUGCCAGGCAGGUGCUCUACCACUGAGUUACAAACCCAGGCCCUACAUAUGGAUUCGCCCUACAUAUGGAUUCUUUAUCAUUUGUCAAGACUUGCUUCAUUGUCCAGCACAGGAAUUUGGCAAACUUUUUGGGUAAAGCACCAUAUAAUAUGUAGAUGUUGGGUUUGCAGAGCAUUAAGGCCACUGUUGUUAUGGUUCUACUCUGCUGUUGUGCUGUGAGGCAGCCUUGGGCAAUGGAUGUAGAUGGUAAUGGCUUUGUACUGAUACAUUUAAUCUACAGAAACUCAUCCUGGUUGGAUUUGGCCCCUGUGCCAUAGGAUAUAGUGAAUUUUUAAAAAUGUCUCAGGGUUUUUGAAAACCCUGAGAUUCCAAAGUAUGAUCAUAGACAAACUUGUUAUGUUUUUUGAAAUCUGUUCUGUUUAUGAUUUUUUUGUGCUUUAUCAGUUAAAAGGUAUGUAUUAACAUCUUCUCAUUUUGAAUUUGUCCAUAUUUUCUAGUGAUUCUACAUAUUUCAUUAUUUUAUCUGGCACAUGCAAGUUCAAAUGGUGAAGGCUUCCUGCUGAAUUGUUCCUUUUAUCAUUUUGUUCUGAUUGUUUAAAAAAAUUACAUCUAGUUUAAUUUAGUUCAAUUUCACUUUGAGGGGGUCGUUCUCUAUUUUUAGAAGUGAUCAUUUGUUUUCUGGGAAAGCAAUGCUAUACAAUCUGAAAAAGUAAUGCUGGAUACACAGCUGUACUUAAACAGUCUAAAGUGUUUUGCUAAAAUUACUCAUCUCUAGGAGCCAGAAUGUUUUAUUUGGCUAGGAGAACCAGCACUGGGAACUACUCUUCAAGAACCCUGUUCCCAGCUCAUUAAGAGACUCCCACCAGCAUUACUGAGAAAGAACACAAUUCCCACAUCGAAAGAACAGGGCCCUGAGACUGAACUCUGUGAAGGCCGCAAGGCCAUGCUAGUAACACAGAGCAUAGGGGAGGACAGGCAGUGAGCAGCCUGGCCAUGGAAGAAGAGGCUCAUGAUUGGACUCGACCUUUACUAACAGGUUGUGCAGUGGAGGAAGGAAGCUGUUUCUUCAUUGUUCUGUUCACUUUGCAAAAUAAUUACUAGUUAUACCAUGACUAAAACAGAAGGUUUUAUAAUCCAUUCGGCCACCCCUGAAAAGAAUCACAAUGUCUUUAAGUGUAUUUCUCACUCUAAUUAUUCAGAACACCCGCUCUCUAUUCUUGUUGUCUCUCUGUUUUUAUCAGAAUCUUACCUCUAACCUCCAAAAUUCAGCUCAAGUUUCACCUCUGUGAAGACUCCAAAUGCAGAAACAAGAUUAUCUGAGGGCUAAAAUGCAGCAAGCAGUUGCAACUUUCAAUGAGAAAGGAAAAUGUAGAGAAAAGGUGAUCAGGGCCUGUGAAAAUGAAGGAUUCAGGGAAGGAGAUGGCAGAAAGGAAAGCAUAUUCAACUCCAAGUUUGUUGUGCCCAAUACGGGGCAUCUAGUUGCUGUGAGGGGCUUCUCAGAGAAGCUCAGGCAGGCAGGCCCUUCAGUUUCUGGGUCUUUGCUGGCUAUGCAGGUCUAGGUCUAGUUGCUGGGAUACUGGAACACUCAGUCUUUCUUAGGCUUGUGGUGGUUUAUCACGCUGUAUGUUAGUUGAACUUGUGCUCUCCAGUUUUGUUUUGUUUUCCUGGCUAUCAAGUUUUCCUCAUUUGCCUUUUCACUCUCUUACAUAUAGCAAGAAACUGGGCAUGAUUUAACCUCUUCUAUCUCUCAAAAUCCUUAGGAUCUCUUCUCCCUGUCUCCAAAUUUUUUUAAAAAAUCAAAUGCUUCUGGUUAAGUCUAUGUGUGUUGGUUUUAUCAGAAGUUUUAGAAUCACUCUGAGCUGUAAUGAGGAGUGGGGUGAUCCUUUAAUUUUGCCAUUUCUAAUAGUAAUGGGUACAAUCUAAUCUACAUUCCAAUAACACUCCUGUUUUCAUAGCUGAGGAUGUCCCUAGCAACACAUCUUGAGUUUUGCUUACAAAAUAUGCUGCCAGUUCCCAGAGGCAACUUUAAAGUAAAAAAAUUUGGAACAGGAUGGCAAAACAUGACCUGUGGUCACUUUAUGAGUCCUGACACUCUGAUAAAGGUAAAGCACUAAGAUCAACAAGACCACCUCAACAGCACUUGACUGAAGAAAAGUGUUUUCCCUUCUUUUUGUCAGGAGGUUGAAUACUAUAAAAUUUCUCUUGCUACUUUCAAGUCAGCAGAACUAAAUCUUAAAGGUUAUUUUGUAUAAGUCUGACUACUCAAUUUUAAGUGUUACCACAUUUACUUAAAAUGCACACAGGAAAGUCUCCUCAGGAAGGGCCAUGAACCUGACCCUUGAUUCGAAUGCUGGGACUUAGGCCUGAACAGUGACAGUGGGAAGGACCUCUUAUGUCAAAAAUUGGUGCCUUGGGACCUCCCCUACCAUGUUACAGAAAGGAUGCAUGGAUUGUGUUGACAUCAGGGAACAGCUUUGCAGAUAGGAACACUACCUGCUUGCUGUCUGGUCUUACAAUAAGGUAUUCCUUCUCCCCUUUGAUCUUAUUUUAUUUUUAGCUUAAAGAAAAAGCAAAGAUAAGUUGGUUUAGGUGACAUGAACACAACUUCAGUCUUGAGUGUUAAACCUUGACCCUUCUCCCUCUCUAGUUUUAAAUUUUGGAACAUUUACAUAUUUGGGGCCAGUUUUCAAACUAUGAGUAAUU